GCCCCUGAGGGGUGUGGGGUGAAGGGUGCGCGGCCCCGCGGGGGAGGUUUGGGGUCUGGGGGGGGUUUGCUCUCUCCAAACUAAGCCGAUGUCUUGAGGAGAGCAAAAGCUGGAGCAGAGUGGGUGGUCCAGGGGUUGAAACCUGUGGAGAGGAUGAAAUUUGCGCUUCCACAGCUGGCCAGAUCGCUAUAGCGGGCUGUGGUGUGGUGCUGAAGUAGGUUAAUUUGUGUAUUUUCCCCUCAGAAGGGCUCUGGAGCACAUCAGGAGAAGCAGAGAGAAUCAGGCCAUUUAUCGCACUUCUGCUGGUGUUUUGGGAAAAAAAAAAAAAAAAAAAAAAAAAAAACCACCAAAUGUGUGCCUGCCAGAGCGAGGGGGCUGUGGAGAUAGGCGGAUGUUUCCUCAGGCACUGGGGACAUGGCUGUGGCAGAGACAGGCUGCUGGUAAAGGAGAGACCCUGCCCCUCGUCACCAGCCCUGCUGCGUGCCAGGAGGCGGCUGGUACAAGGGGUGCAUGGACUCACUCCAGCAUCUGCAAGCUGCAUCAAGAGCAGACGGCAGGCCUGGCAACACAUCUGUGUUGGGAUAUGCACAGCAGCUGUAUGCAGCCAUCAGCAAGGUCCUGGUGCAGGUGGAAAGGAUCUCCUGGUCUCUGAGGUCAUUAAAUGGUCCAGUCAUCUGCCUCCUUUCCUUCCCCUCUGCCUGGACUUGGAGAGUUUCUUCCAAGAGAAGCAGCCAGGGCAAGAGGCACAAGUCAGGAAAUUAGAAGCCAACCUCCCGUGGAGCUAUAAAGAGGGAAAAAGCAGGCUCACGCAGCAUUACAAACUGACGCUUCCAUUUUGUUAAGUCUGAUAGUUAAUGGGAUUUCCAGGGGCUGACAGUGCUUCAAUUGCUCCAAAAACCAUGGGGGAUAUUGGCCCAAAUGAUUUGAUUCCCCAAGCAACUUGCUCUGAGGUGUGUUCUCCGGCCAAAAUAAAUGUGGGGGCGUGGAAGACAGUGAGAGAAUACGUCUGCUAUGUACGUGCUGGGAGAUGAGCUCCGUGCUCCUGGAGGGGGAACAAAUCAUAAAUUCAGGAAUAAGCAGAGCUGCAGAAGAGAGGUUUAUGACUCAAAAUGCUCAAGUCCUAUCCAGUGACAUUUUUGUUCUAACUGAAGCAGGUGACCAGCCUGUCCACAGUAGCUGGUGCCGUCUUCAUGUCAUUCAUUGCACUGUGGCUCUAGUCUGAAUGCCCCCACAGCCAUGUCCUCCCCCACCAACAAGAAGAAGGGGCCAAAGAGAGCAGCUCUGACACGCUGCCUGCCUUGUGGGCUGUUCUCCUUCCCCGUUCCUGCUGGAGCUUUCCUGCAUCAGGCUGCUGGAUGAAACUGUGCCCGCUGCUCCCCUUGAUUAACGGGAACACUGCUGUGGGAGAAGAGUUUGACAGAGCAAUGAGAGCAAGCUGCACGAGGGUGAAUGACCCUCCUCAACAGAAAUAUCCACAGGUGCAGGGACAGAUUUCUAACGUACACAAGGGACAGUGAGGUGAGACAGCAGCUUGGACUAUGUGAAAAGAGAAGGAUCGAUCUGGAACACAAGGAAGAGAAUAUGGUAAAAAAAGCAUACUACUGCUGAAAAUGUGCAGUGACACCGAAAUUCA